GAGAUCGUGACCUGAGCUGAAGUCGGUCGCUUAACUGACCGAGUCACCCAGGCGCCCCAGGAUUCUUUUUUCUUACUGGAAUUUUUACCCAUCAGCUGGAUGACAGUGUUCAGAUGUUGGGGAGGAAGAAUUUCCUCUGCCAUUCAAGGUCCUCCUGGUUGAACUAAGAAUCAAGUUGACACGAGGCAGAUGAGCAUGAGAAAAUCACGUUUACUUUACUACGUACGGGGAACCCACACAGACACGGAAAUUCCAACGACAGGCAAAAUGAGAGUCGAGAACCUAAGCGUUUCCAAGAACUGUGUGUAUGGGCUUUUAUUGACCAGGAAUGGCCCCUUCAUAUCCUAUGUCGUCAAAUCCAAGAUGCUUUUCAAGGUCAACUCACUCAAUCACUCUUACUGGGUGAAGACUUGCAAAUCAAUCAGAGCAUUAAGUGGAUCUCCAGAAGUUUCACAGCAAUUUAGAAAUGAAACCAAGAUUUAAUACCAGCCUGCUUAAAAAGGUGCCAUGUCGAUGAUGCACACCGUGCAGCAGAUGGGAAAAAUCCUCAUGCAACUUAACAACAUGCUCACGUUUUCCUGUAGUUCUGCCGAAACACAACUUUGUGAGAGCUCCCUCCGUUACCGCCAAGGCAGCCAGGUAAUGAAGGAGUCAGAAAGUGGACAGAAGCUGCCAGCAAGUUGUACCUGCCUGAGAAUGGAAUUGGCAACCAUGAAGCCUUUCAACAGGGUUUGGUUGUCCCAAGAACCGUGACGUUUGCAACCAUUUUGGAAUGGGUCGUGGCCUCGGGAAGGAGCUUAAAGAAAAUCACUUUGCCCGAAUUCCACGUGAAAAUGGCACGAUGAUUACUUUUUCUUCCUGUCCCUGCAAACACUUGGUGCUUGGCUAAAUGAAAAUAAAGGACAGAUAAGCUCACAGCUCAACAUUAUUGUCCUCUGCAUACAAAGUUCCACAUUCCAGGAUUGGAUUCCACAGGAAAAUGUGCUCGACGGUCAGAACCCUUGCUACUUUAUCCUAACUGUGGUGAAGAUCUGGAAAGGAGUCUUGGUCACUGACCCAACAGUCAACAGAGAGACACCGUGCCAUAUGGUUAGACUCUGUGCAUCAUAGACUGAAGUCAGAGAAAGCUUGCCAAGUCCUGAUGCAGAAGAUUGUUGAGUAAAAAACAUCAUUCCCAGCACCGCCAAGCAUGCGCUAAUCUCUUCUCUGCGUCUUCCAAAUCGUAGCUCCAGAUGUUGUCCCUGAUUCAUGGGGUGUUCACGAAAGCUGGCAAGGCCACCGACAAAUGUGUUACACAUUGACUAAUCCACUCAGAUAGCAUAAAAGCCAACACGAUACGUAAAGUUCUCGGAGUGCAAACUUCAACGUCGCUGUCUUACACCCAGGCUGACAGCAAGGUUUAAAAACCAGGAGGACUUGAUGAAUUCCAGUCGGGUCCUUUGUUAAUGGACUACAUCUAACGCAGCAGGUCCCGCGAGCUCGCGAUCACUUUAUAUUCUGUUCAGCAGAAAGAAAAGAACAUUCUGUAUUCAGCAUUACUCUUCCUGCAAAUGUAAUUGUGCCUCCAACAUGUAAGUGAGGUUUCGGGCUUGUAAAAUGUGGCGUGCAUUAAAACUAGCAUUUAGUGGAACUGGGUAUGGUGUGGUUUCAAUAAAAAUACAUGAAUUUGUCUCAAUUA